GACCUUCUUUUCGAGAUAUUUGAGAUUUAAAAUAUGGCGGGAAAAGGCUGACUCGGACUUUUACCUUAUAUUUGCAUUGGUAUUAUUUGGGUCUCAAAACAAAUGAAAGAAAAUCAAGAAUCUUCUAAAUUUUUGGUAAAUGACCUUUCAUGAGCUAUUAAGUCUUCUAUGAAAAAAUAAAUGGGUGUUAUGGGGCAAAAUAUUUUACAUUGUAUUUUAGGUGAAAAUGUAAAGCAAAAUUACAUCCGGGUGAAAUUUGAUCCGGAGGAAAAAAUGUCACAGUAGUUGUUGUUAUUUUUUUAUCUGGAGGAAACUAUUUCCCUGGGAUAUUUUAUCCUUUGCCGUGAAAUUCUAUCUGGGUAGUUAACUUAUUGAAUAGUUAUUAGAAAAAAAUU
rnacentral:lncRNA from 1 species